rnacentral:lncRNA from 1 species
CUGUACAAGCACAAUUUCGCUCGGGCCUAAACAAACCUAAACCUACCCAGACCCAAAUACUAACCCGAUUCAAAACAAGCCCAAACAUUAUGGCCCAAACCCAACAAAGACUAGGGUUUCAGAACCCUAGCCCCUUCCACAUGCGCCGUACCAUUCUGACCCCUGCUCUGCCAUCGCCGCACAUCCCAUCAGCGCCGACGCCGUUCACUCCUACCUCUGACGCCGCACCUACUCCUGCAAAAACAGAUGCCAAACAGAGAGAAACAAGCAAAGGCACAGGAGAUAAUAGCAAAGCUCAAUUUAUUUUUAUUUUAUUUUAUUUCGGGUAUAAAAAACGAUUUGUAAACCGAAAUGGGGGGAUUUUUCGGAGUUUUUUCUCUUUCGGCAAAAGCCGAACACUGUAAAAGGGGAUUCUUUUUUUUGUUUCUUUUGUAACAUUUCACAAAACCAAGAAAUAUAAAAAUCAAAGGUGAUUUUCGUUUUGCAUUUCUUUCUUUUUUUAUCUCUUUUUUAUUGUUGUUUAUUUUUAUUUUUAUUUAUUUAUUUAUUUAUUUUGAAAAACAGUUUACAUUUGCAAAAAAGAAAAAAAAUAUAAAGAGAAAGAGCAAAAAAAAUACCUUUUCUGUUUUUCGGCCACCGUGUACGGUGCCGGCAUGGUGGCGCUACGGCGUUGGCUCGCCGGAAGCUUGGCCGGAUUUUGGGGAGAAGAAAGGGGGAGAGAGAGAAAAUUUUCGGAUUUUUUUUUCUGAAAAGAGGGGGAAAUGAAAUUUUUUGGAAAAUUUUUGAAAUAUAUAGGACUGUGAAACGGCGCCGUUUUGGCCCAUCUCCAAAAUGCCCAAAACGACGCCGUUUUGUCUUGGAUCGGACCGACCCGACCCGAACCGCCAAGGAUCCGCGUGUUUCUGGAUAAAAGGGGUUAUUUGCGCUCCUGGUCCUUCCGCUUUUGAGGCUGUUUACGAUUGGGUCCUAUUUUGUUUUUGUUUUUCAAUUUUGCCACAAAAUUUCAUUUUUCUCUCGAUUUGGUCCUCAAUGAAGCUGUGCGUUUUAGAGGAGAAGGGAAAUUGUCCCUUCCAGCCCCUCUAUGUUAUUCGCACAUUCAAAUCAAUCCCUCCUUUUUUUAUUUUGAUUUCACCCCGUAUUGUUUGCUUUUAUUUCGAUUUAGUCCCCUUUUUAGCAUUUUUAUUAUUUUCUUCAUUAUUUUAAUGUAUUAUCAUCUUUUAUUAUUUAUUAUAUUAUUAUUAUUAUUAUUAUUAUUUUACAAUUUCAAAUAUGUAUAUAUAUAUGUGAAUAAGUUUUUAUAAUAUAUGUAUGUUUUUUUAUCCGUAUAUAUAUAUAUGCACAUUGUUUUAUCUUAGAAUUUUUUUAUGUACAUAUCUACGUUCUUAUAAUGUACAUGUUUAUAUUUUAUAUAUAUUUUUAUAUAAUCUAUUUAUAUAUGUAAAUACUUAUAUUUUCAUGUUUUAUAAUUCAUAUAUAUAUCCUUUAUUUAUUCUCUUCAUUUAUUUAUUUAUGAACAUAUUUGUUGUUAUUUUAUCUUGCUUUAGUUUUGUCUAUUUAGUAUUUAUCAUGAUGCCUGCACAAUUACUUUUAUAUUAUUCUUAUUACUAAUUUAUAUUUCGUUUUGCUCGUAAUUAUUUUAUUUACAUUAUCAUCAUUAUCAUCAUCAUUCCAUCACACUCAUUUUUAUUUAGAUUUCAAAAAAAAAAGAAAUUUUAAAAAAUAUAAGUAAUACUCGGUAUUUUGGAUCUUCGAAAAAAUCGAGCCCUAAUGUAUUGGGUCCCGAUUUUCUUCGUUGAAUUUAAAUAAUCGAGAUUACUCUUUUAAAAAUGAUAAAAAGCUCGUUAUCGAGAAUUCAAUACGUUGUGUCCUAAUGUAUUGGAUGUGACACGUUGUUUUCUCGAGACGAAGAUUUUUCGAAAUAAAUGUAAUAUUCAAUGUUUAAUAUUUUGAUAAAUUGUGCCCUAAUGUAUUGGGUUGCGAUUUUUUUCAUUUAAUUUAAACAAUUGAAUAUUCUUUUGAACUUUAUUACACGAAUCUUUUCAAACUCAAGUUUUAAAUGAUAUCGGGAAUUAAAAAAGGAUCGUGUCCUAACUUACUGGUCGUGAUCCUUUUUUUAUCCAAGAUAGUUAAAUAUCUUUUGAACAAGCAUUUUCAUUCGCGUAUUGGGAAUUCGAGACAUUGUGUCCUAACUUACUGUAUAUGAUUCUCUUUCUCGAAUAACGUAAAACAUGCCCUUUCCCCAAAUUUUUAUUUAAUACAAGGAUCGUAUUUUUAAUUUUUCCAAGUUCUCGAUUUUCGACAUCAAGACAUUAAGUAAUUGACUAGGUACCAAUUUUGGGCGUAUCGAGGGUGCUAAUCCUUCCUCGUACGUAACCGACUCCUGAACCCGUUUUUCUGAAUUUCGUGGACCAAACUUGUUGUUUUAAUAAAAUCAAACCGUUUAUUAAAAACAACCACUUUUCGAGGUGAUCCGAUCACACCUCAUAAAAAAAGGAUUGGUGGCGACUCCCGUUUCAUUUUUUAAAACCCAAGUCGACCCCUUUUUUCAUCCAAAAAAUGGUGUCAACAGCUUGGCGACUCCGCUGGGGACUUUUUUUAAAAAUAAGUGAGUCGAGCCAUGAGUUGAUUACUUUUUGUCUUUUUGUCGAAAAUUGAAAAUUUGGUUUAAAUUUACGAUCCUUUCAUGGCAUUUCAUUCUUCAUUAUAAUAUUCAUCAUUGUGGUUUAUAAUUGCUCUGUUUGUUUAAAUUUUGGUAUCUUUUGCAUUGCAUUGCAUGACCUAUGGUCACACCCUUUUAAGUGGGAGUGAGAAGCUACUCCUUCGUGAGGUUUUCACCUCCGUGCAGGAUAGUGGAUCACUUUCGGGAUACAUCCGUACCUAUGUCUUUGUGAGAUUUUCAUCUCCGUGCAGCCAUAGGGAAAUGUAUUCCCCUGAACCGAACUCGGUCUGUAUGAGCCUAUAAUGGGUGAAGGUCGAGGAAUCUGCUGGUUCGGGUACCUUAACUUUAGAGCCAAACCUCAUAUAGUGGACUUAGGAACUUAGCCUAGAUAGAGCCACUCCAAACCCCUAGUAGUCACCCGAUUAGGUACUUUCUGUUCUCCUUGUUUAUUUUUGUACUAACCCCUUUUAUUGUGCUUUGAUUAUGAUUGCAUCGCAUCUGUAUCUGCAUCUUAGGAAAGAGACUACUAAAUUAGAAAGCUUGUCAUGGAAUACGGAUUCCUUGAUAAAGUGGAAAACAAUACGACUUCCCAAAUAUAUUCUGAGAAACACAAGAAGGGCGAUAAAAGAGUUCGUGAUCUUUACUUCGUGGCCAAAGGGUUCGAGACGAUUGUCCAAAAGCCUUCGACAAACUGACGAGCCUUAUGAAGAUGGGCAGAUGAUGGAUCGCGACCAAGAUCAAGAAAAUGAGCUAGCAAUAGCAUCUAUUAGCCAGAUUACCUCAAACAUGCGGAUGAAGAAAAAGACCGAUGUUGUUUCUUGGAAUAUGAGGGUGAGGUCGUAUAUGUAUCCAUUUUAUGUAAGGGAAUUUACUUUCUAGAAAAGUUUCCUAAAUGUAAUUGAAUCAGAAUCAACGUCUCUUUAGGCAUUCAUUUCAUGCGUUUGCAUUACAUUGUAUUAUAUGCGUUAAAAUCCAUUGAAAGAGUCUAAACGAGUAAAUUUAUUUCAGCUAACCUGGAAAACCAACCAACCAAACACCUUUACGAUAUCCAAGUAAAGACUAGAGAAAUGGAACGAAGGUUGGAAAAAUUAGAGCGAAUGCAGAUUCAGAUGCAGCAGCAAUUGACUGAAUUUCAACAGGAGAUGAGAGAUCAGAUUCUAGGAUUACAGAGAACCAUGAUAAGUCAGUUCAACCGAUUGCUAGCUGGAGAAAAAAGGGAGGACUCGAUGGACCACUCGGGGGUUGAUAAUGAGGAUUUUGCUUAUUCCCUAGAUUGUACUCCGAUAAGUGCACAGAUACAGCCAGAUGGGCGUUCACACGGGGCACCCUUUACUAUCAGAUCACAACGGUAUCAGACUGGUACAACAACACCAGUGGGUUGCUUGACGGACCCAAGGUCCAAAGUGAGGAACAAUUUUCCUGUUGCUCUCGACAACCUGGCUGAAACAAAGCAGGCGAGGGUGGAAUACCUAAGUACCACAAAGGCCCCAAGGAAGGAGGGGAAUAAAUGGGAUAAUGCGGGCAGGUAUAACAAGGGCCACCCAAAACCAAUCACUGCGGGCCGACCAAAGACAGAAACCACCAGCUAUCAGAGGUCUUCAAAGCAAGAAUCAGGAGUGAAACAAGGUACUGAGAACCUCCAGUUCACGCCAAUUCCGAUGACGUAUAAGGAGCUGUACCAAAAUUUAUUCAAUGCGCACAUCGUUUCCCCUUUCUACUCAAAACCUCCACAGCCUCCGUACCCCAAAUGGCAUGAUGCGAAUGCACAAUGCGAAUAUCAUGCGGGAAAUACGAGGCAUUCCAUAGAAAAUUGCAUCGCCUUUAAAAAGGUGGUUGAAAGGCUUAUCAGUAUAGGCAUUGUCAAAUUGGACGAUUUAUCUAGUACAGAAAACCCGCUACUCAAUCAUACGGAUAAUGAAAGGAAUGCGAUGAACGAAAAGAUGUUGGGAAACGUUCACAUCAGUGCCGAAUACGAAGAAGCAACCGGAGAAGAGAUCUUAUUAGAUGUUCGCCCUUAUAAACUUAGGAGUGUUCUAAAGAAGCCCCUGUAGUAUUUAGAGCUUACUCAGAGUAAUAUUCAAAACACACUUGUUGCUUUCAGCCUAGAGGCAACAAGAAGUCUUUUGUGAAAUAGGCUCAUGUCUGAACGCCGUUAUUUUAAUGAAAUGCAUCUUUGCGAUCUUUUAAACCAAUAUUCUGUCAUUUCUUAUGAAUGAUUAUUAUUUUUAUUCUUUUAUUCUUUCAUCCAAAUCAUUCUUUCAUUCAUUCAUAACCAUAUUGUGCAGAUAAUUAUUCUUAAAUUCAUACAUUCUUUGUAUAUUCUCUUGCACCUACAAUAGGUCCCUAGAUAUCAACGACAUGAAUGACACUGCUACAGACUUAGAAUCUCCUUUUGAGCGAGACAUGUGUUUAGAGGGAUCUCACGACUUUGAAGAUGACAUAGAUCGUAGCUUAUCUCCAAACUUGUUGAGGAUGGUAGAACAAGAGGAUAAAUAGAUCCUACCUCUCAAUGAAUCAUUAGAAAUUGUGAGCUUGGUGAAGGCUGGAAUUGACCUGACCACAGAAACGAAGCAAGACCUUGUUGAGUUACCUCUAGAGCUCAAAGAUGUCUUUGUAUAUCAUACCAGGGUAUGCCUCGAUUCUUAUAAUAAAACCUGCACAACAACAUGAUGUUAGAAAUUUACAGUGCGAACGAUGCAAUUCUUUGCCGGGGCAAUGCCUCUCUCAUUGAGUCAGCAUAGCUUUGCCCAUUUGAAGUCGAGUUUCCAUCCCUUCAAGAUGUUGAAGGAUUUUAUCCUGAUUAAAGAGGAAGAUUUAAAGUUUUCUGUCAUAGUUGCGUCCCAAAAGGGUUCUAUGAAACAAAUCUGGUACCAAAGAAGGUUUUUCACAAACAAUAUGAAAGUGGAAGAUGAAAGUGGAAGACUUUAGAAUAACAUUAAUUCUGGUCGAAAAACAUGACUAGGACUUGCCUGAUCUCAUGAGUUCAGACUCAAAAAAAAUCAAAAAAAAUCAAAAAAAAAAACAUUAAAAAACCAAAGAUAGGAAAAAAGGAGAAGAAAAAAAAAAGAAAAAGAAAAAGAAAAAAAAGAGGUCAAGGCGAAAACCCGCAAAGGGCGCUUUGACCAAAGGUGGAUCUGAGUUGAAAACCUGAAAAAGGGCGACUCAAAUUUUAAGCAAAACGAGGCAUGGACAUCACCAUUAUCGAAGACUUCUAAUGGGCAUUGCUUCAUUUUUUUGAGAGGCUACUUCAUGGAUCAAGGUCAUCCUAUACCGAUACAGAAUUUCAGAGAGGAUGGUAUUGGAAAAUGCAUUGAACUUAAAUGAUAGCACGAUAACUGAGGUCUGAAAUCAAUUCAAAAGCAGACACCACGUUUUGUCACCAAAUUACCUAGAGGUGAACAAGGACUGGCAUGAGAAGUUACCAUUUGCCCUCAUUGUUUGUCGAACAUCUGUACUGGGGCAACACCUCCCUUUUUGGUUUACAGGAUUGAUGUAGUUUUACCUAUUAAAAUCCCCUCAUUGCUUGUUGGAGGGAUCCAAUCGCGAUGUGAUCAGUUGGCCCUAGGAAAAGGGUUAAAAGCUAUUCAUCAGAGUCGCAUGUACCAGAAAUAAAUGAUAUGAGCCCACAAUAAACAGGCUCGUCUCAGAUUCCACGAGAGGGCUAGAUGUUAAAAAAGAUUCUUCCUUAACGAAAGGAUUCCAAAGGGAAAUGAAUGCCAAACCAGGAAUGUCCCUAUGUUGUAAAGAAGACCAUUUUCAGAGGAGCACUGAUCCUGAGUGAGAUUGCUAAUCCUAUAAACUCGGAUCCAGUCAAGAAACACUUCGUUUAAAGAAAAAGGAAGGACCAAGGUGAAAACCUGCAAAGGGCACUUUGAGUCAAAAAAAAAAGAAAUGAGAAAAAUAAAAAUGAAAAAUGAAAAAAUGAAAAAGUAAAAAUGGAGAGGCUAAGGGGAAAACCCGCAAAGGGCACCUUAAGCCAAAGGGGAUUUGAGUUGAAAACCCGAAGGGCGGCUCAAUAUUGAUCAGAAUGGGGCAUGAAGUGAUCAGAUUGGGGCAUACAGUGAUCUUACUAUACCUAAAAGGGUAAGGCAACAUCUUGGGGCAUUGACAAAGUCCUGUAGAUCUCCUAAACACAUGUCAAACUCAGAAUGGUCUUCAGAAAGUUUGUACAGAGAAGUUCAAGCUGCGAUAUCUGGGGCACCUAACCUUCAUACUAUUUAUAUAUUGAAUAUGUUCCAAUCAAUUCCUCUUUUAUUCCUGCUACCCUUGAUAAUUCAUUCAUUUCGAGCUAUGCUCUCAAAUCAAUUCUAUUUUAUCCAUUGUUAUAUUCUUUUUUUUUGCAAGCAUGUUGCAUUGGAAUAAUGAUUAAUGGACUAAUAAUACUUUCACAAUGGAAGUUUUGCAUAUUACUCUAGAAGUUUCUAAAUAAUAUAGGAACCUGAAACAAGACUAUUAUUUAGAAAGCACCAAGUUUAAAGGGUGAAAUAUCUAAGAAUGAAGAGUCUAAGUUAAGAUUAUCCCUUCGGAUUUUGUUGUCCAAACAUUGAUUGAACAAAAUGACAAGAUGCCGUGUUGGUGACAAAGCUUCAAUGAACAAACAAGCAAUGAUCACAAAGUGAUAAAAAAGGUUUUCUCGGAGAAGGAAAUUUUGCAAUUGUGCAUGAGCAUUUGUAAUGACACCUUGGGAAAGAGAUAAAGGGCCAAAGAGCUUCACAUUCUGUAUCCUUGAAUUACGAUAGGAGAAGAUUGAGGAAAGCCAUAUCUUUCUACCCUUGGGUUACAGUGAGAGAAUGAUGGUACAAAUUUUGGUGUCCCAGUGGAUAUAACUUUGAGGUUUACAGUUGGGGCAGCCUGGCUAAAUGUUUCUUCAGAAAGCACCAGUUGAGAAGGAAGGUGUUGUAACAUUUCAGUGACAAAGCCUUAAUAAACUUCGAGUAGGGAUAACCUAAGCGAGAUCAUUCUCGGAAAAAUAAAAUUUUGCAUUCAUGCAAACACCAUUCACACAUGUCUAGUUAGGAGCAUUUGAUUCAUUUUGAUCAUUCCAUCCUAAUCAUUAGGCAUAAUUAGGCUCAUUAUACAGGUCAUGUUCCCCAGAGAACAUGUCAGUGAAUAUUAGAGAUCUUAUCUCCCUGAAGUUGCAGUGGAGCAGACGAAAGAAAUCAAUCCUAUCUCCCUGAAGUUACAGUGGAGCGGGUUAAAACCACAGAUCUUAUCUCUCUGAAGUUGCAGUAGAACAGAUCGCAUCCAGUCUUAUCUCCCGGAAGUUGCAGUGGAGCAGACGAAAGAAAUCAAUCCUAUCUCUCUGAAGUUGCAGUAGAGCGGAUUAAAACCAUAGAUCUUAUCUUUCUAAAGUUGCAGUAGAGCAGAUCACAUCCAGUUUUAUCUCCUUGAAGUUGUAGUGGAGCAGACGAAAGAAAUCAAUCCUAUCUCCCUGAAGUUGCAGUGGAGCGGGUUAAAACCAUAGAUCUUAUCUCUCUGAAGUUGCAGUAGAGCAGAUCGCAUCCAGUCUUAUCUCCCUGAAGUUGCAGUGGAGUAGACGAAAUAAAUCAAUCCUAUCUCCCUGAAGUUGCAGUGGAGCGGGUUAAAACCAUAGAUCUUAUCUCUCUGAAGUUACAGUAGAGCAGAUCACAUUCAGUCUUAUCUCCCUGAAGUUGUAGUGGAGCAGACGGAAGAAAUCAAUCCUAUAUCCCUGAAGUUUCAGUGGAGCGGGUUAAAACCAUAGAUCUUAUCUCUCUGAAGUUGCAGUAGAGCAGAUCGCAUCCAGUCUUAUCUCCCUGAAGUUGCAGUGGAGUAGACGAAAGAAAUCAAUCCUAUCUCCCUGAAGUUGCAGAGGAGCGGGUUAAAACCAUAGAUCUUAUCUCUCUGAAGUUGCAGUAGAGCAGAUCACAUCCAGUUUUAUCUCCCUGAAGUUGCAGAGGAGCGGAUUAAAACCACAGAUCUUAUCUCUCUGAAGUUGCAGUAGAGUAGAUCGCAUCCAGUUUUAUCUCCCUGAAGUUGCAGUAGAUUAGACGAAAGAAAUCAAUCCUAUCUCCCUGAAGUUGCAGUGGAGCGGAUUAAUACCACAGAUCUUAUCUCUCUGAAGUUGCAGCAGAGCAGAUCGCAUCCAGUCUUACUUUCCUAGCGUUGCAGUGGAACAGAUUGAAGCUACAACAACGGAUCUUACUUUCCUAGCGUUGCAGUAGAACAGAUUGAAGCUACAACAGCGGAUCUUACUUCCCUGACAUUGCAAUUAAAAAUAUUGAAGCUACAACAGCAGAUCUUACCCCCCUGAUGUUGCAGUGGAAUAGAAUAAAACCAUGAAUCACAUCCCCCUGAAGUUGCAACAGAGUGGAUUGAAGCUAUAAGACGCAUCUUUCUAAAAUGCAGACGAAUGGAUCGAAGCAACAAGAUAGUGGGUUGAAAUAAAGCUACUUGAAGUGAAUCGUCAAGAGAGGUCAAGACUCGGCGAGAUCGGGCAAAAUUGGGCUUUCUUAGUCUUUGCUCUGUUCUCGUUACACGACAACGAGCAAAGAGGGGCAGCUGUACAAGCCCAAUUUCGCUCGGGCCUAAACAAACCUAAACCUACCCAGACCCAAAUACUAACCCGAUUCAAAACAAGCCCAAACAUUAUGGCCCAAACCCAACAAAGACUAGGGUUUCAGAACCUUAGCCCCUUCCACAUGCGCCGUACCAUUCUGACCCCUGCUCUGCCAUCGCCGCACAUCCCAUCAGCGCCGACGCCGUUCACUCCUACCUUUGACGCCGCACCUACUCCUGCAAAAACAGAUGCCAAACAGAGAGAAACAAGCAAAGGCACAGGAGACAAUAGCAAAGAUCAAUUUAUUUUUAUUUUAUUUUAUUUCGGGUAUAAAAAUGAUUUGUAAACCGAAAUGGGGGG